CCAGCAGGGAGGGCAUCCCAGGCGAGGCGAGGGACUCCAUCUCACUUUGUCUGAAAUGGACAAUGGAUGGUCUCUUUCCACAAUGUUGGAGAAGAAGCUGAGCCCCGAGUCUGCACCUGGGCACUCUGACAACUUCUCAGGGUCCUGCAGACAAUGACUGAGGAGAGCCACAUGUAGGGCCGGAGCU
rnacentral:snoRNA from 1 species